ACCUCAUUGGAGGUAUGUGGAUAGUUUCUUCUCUAUUCAGCAGUAGGAAGGAGGAGAUCUCGAAAAAUAUAUGGCUCAUUUCAACGCAGCCACCGUAGAAGUGAAAAAUUUUAAUGAAUCAGUUGUCAUGUCUGUUUUGAAAAGAAAACUUCGGAGCAACUGUUUGAUUUUUUUCUGAAUAAUUUUUUUUUAAAUAAUUAUGAUGAGAUGCUCAAUAGGAUACAUAAAUAUGCUCAGGCCGAAGAAGAAGAGGCUAUCUUAAAAUAGGUGAAGAAGGAUAAGAAUGGAAAGAAACGGUCAAGAGAGAGUGAUGAUCGGAUUGAGAAUUUAAAUCAACCUCGAAAAAAAUUGAGGUCAAGGAGCCCACCUCGGCAUUUUAAUUCAUAUAUCUCUCUGUUCACUCUUCGAGCUCAAAUUUUGAUGGAAAUUGAAGGAGAGAGAUAUCUUUGAAGAUCUAAUUUUUUAAGGGCCCCAUUAGAGAAAAGAGACAAACGAAAGUAUUGUCGCUUCCAUAG
rnacentral:lncRNA from 1 species